rnacentral:misc_RNA from 1 species
UUUUCCCCCAGCUUAGCUCCGGCGAUUCAGUUAACGUUCAGCACUACUUUCCGGCGACGGAACGUCGGCGUAGUAUCUCGAAUGGAAUCAACAUCCAUUUCUCCCUCCGGCGGCUCCGGCACUACCGCCGUCAGCGCCAUUGCUGCCGGCGGCGAUGCGACCACAACCGGCAGCAAUAGUACAGAGGAGAGCUCGAUUACCGAUACGGUGGUUCAGUAUGUUGUUCUACGGAGAGAUUUGAUUGAUACAUGGCCGUUAGGAAGUGUGGUUACGCAAGGCUGCCAUGCCGCCGUCGCCGCCAUUUGGUCUCACAAAGACGAUGCUGUUACUCUUCAAUAUUGUAGCCCUUCCAAUAUCGAUUCGAUGCAUAAGGUAACCCUUGAAGUGAAGGGUGAAACCCAGAUAUUGAACUUGGCAGAAAAGCUAAAAGCUGGGGGCAUUGCUCAUAAACUGUGGAUUGAACAACCAGAAAACAUACCAACCUGUCUUGCUACAAAACCUUAUCCAAAAUCCCUGGUAUCUUCAUUUUUCAAGAAGCUAAAACUUUGUAAAUGAUGAAUUUCAAGUGUCGUCCGUUUAUGUGAUACUGACACAAGUAGGCUUAGUUUCAGUGUUAUGGAAUUGAACCUAUUUGCUAAUGAUGAGCUACUCUUUGUAAUGA